rnacentral:rRNA from 1 species
GUAGGUGGCAAGCGUUGUCCGGAUUUAUUGGGUUUAAAGGGUGCGUAGGCGGCCCUGUAAGUCAGUGGUGAAAUACGGCAGCUCAACUGUCGAGGUGCCAUUGAUACUGCGGGGCUUGAGUGUUGAUGAGGCAGGCGGAAUUGACGGUGUAGCGGUGAAAUGCUUAGAUAUCGUCAAGAACACCGAUAGCGAAGGCAGCUUGCCAAGCAAUAACUGACGCUGAGGCACGAAAGUGCGGGGAUCAAACAGGAUUAGAUACCCUGGUAGUCCGCACAGUAAACGAUGAUUACUCGAUGUUGGCGAUACACAGCCAGCGUCUUAGCGAAAGCGAUAAGUAAUCCACCUGGGGAGUACGCCCGCAAGGGUG